GGACCAAGGAGUCUAGCAUGUUCGCGAGUCAUUGGGAAUCACAAAACGUAAAGGAGCAAUGAAAGUGAAAGUGUGUUGACGCGGACUUAGGGAGGAUAGGUUUCGUACACUGUACAACCUGCACUCCCGGGGCGUCUCGCACUCAAUGCGAGGUGGGGCGCACCAAGAACGUACACGCUGGGACCC
rnacentral:rRNA from 1 species